rnacentral:rRNA from 1 species
UACGUAGGGCGCAAGCGUUAUCCGGAAUUAUUGGGCGUAAAGAGCUCGUAGGCGGUUUGUCGCGUCUGCUGUGAAAACUGGGGGCUCAACCCCCAGCCUGCAGUGGGUACGGGCAGACUAGAGUGCGGUAGGGGAGAUUGGAAUUCCUGGUGUAGCGGUGGAAUGCGCAGAUAUCAGGAGGAACACCGAUGGCGAAGGCAGAUCUCUGGGCCGUAACUGACGCUGAGGAGCGAAAGCAUGGGUAGCGAACAGG